CGCAGAAGUUGGUAUUUAUAAACAUUUUAUUUGACGUGAGAAUAUGCGCAUCUCCCCCCAAACGUUAGACUAUGCAUACGCACAUCUGUUCGUGAUUUAAAUGUUAUAUUGCCAGCUGGCAAGUUUUGCAAUAUCAUAGGUAGCGCGGAUACGGUAUACAGUUGAAUUUAACAGAAAUUGACACAGUCCUUUUCCAGAUACAGCAUAAAUUACUGCUAAAGAUGAAAACAUCCUGCCAACACAGUGAAUAGACCAGUAGAUGGUGUUCCUAAUGUUUGAUACACUCCGUGUAUAUUUUAGUUGACACACCAGUAUGAUGCGUGAUGUAUAUGAUUAAAAAUGUAUUCACCCUGGACAUGAAAUGUGCAUUUACUAAGUGUUGUCUUAAUGUUUAAGUUACCGCAGAAGUUAGUAAAAUGGUACCUGCAUUUAGGAUUCAUGUAUCAGUUUUUCUACAUCGAAUUCAUGUCUGUAAAUGACAACAAUAGAGCUGAUUAAAAGUAUGUCUAUGACAAAUGACAUGGUAUCCAUAUACAUUUUAUAGCUAGCUAAACUGUUAUUUAUAUUAUGGCUCCACGUCUCAUCUCACUAACAAUUGCUAAAGACGAACAGCAAAUUCUACUAUUGUGGCUAAAAAAAAAUGUUUUGGUCUAGCUUAGUUCCUUCAGAAAAGAUUCACACCCCCUUGACAUUUUCCACAUUUUGUUGUAUUGCAAUGUGAGAUUACAAUUUAUUUAAUUGCCAUUUUUUUGUUGUCAAUGUUGUACACAAAAUACUCAUCUGUAAAAUAAUAAAUUAAAACACUA